UCUCUUCCAGCAGGGUGUAGCUGCAUGCCUCAGUGAAAAGCAAGCUGGGACCACACCCUAGUAUGUAGCUACACAUCAGUGAAAGCUUCUGGCAGGGGGGGAUGCACUCUGCACAGCGCCAAAAGCAGUGUGAUGGUGGGAUUGUACCAGGGAUCUGCAUAGUGUGGCUGACUUUAAUCUAGCUAUCAUGAAUAACAGCACUAGUGUAGAUGUAGCAGCUCAAGUUUCAACCGAAGCAAGCAACCAGUGGUGUAGUGGUAAACAAGAAAGUAGGUAAACUAACCUACACUAAACUCUCUAUUCCCGGAAUGAGAGUUGACUACAUUACUGCAAGGAACCAGAAUACAAGCCUGCAGGGAAGCUUGGGUACAUAGUCUGGCUGCUAACCUGUGGCACCCUGUCUUACUAUUUUUAGUGGCCCAUGCCUCCUAGAUUAAAGCCAGAAGGGGAAGCCUAUCUCUGUUACAACUACACCUUUACUGGCAGUCAAACCACAAAUCAGACACAAACAGAAUCUUUGUCUCCAUCCCCCAACACUGUGUCACCUGUGCCUUUAAAUAACCCAACGAGUGCCCCAAGAUUUGGAACAGUUAUUCCUAAUCGCAUCUUUGUAGGAGGAAUCGAUUUUAAGACUAACGAAAAUGACCUAAGGAAGUUUUUUGCCCAGUAUGGGUGUGUGAAAGAAGUGAAGAUAGUAAAUGACAGAGCAGGAGUAUCAAAGGGGUAUGGUUUCAUCACUUUUGAAACUCAAGAAGAUGCACAAAAAAUUUUACAAGAGGCUGAAAAACUUAAUUAUAAGGAUAAGAAACUGAAUAUUGGUCCAGCAAUAAGAAAACAACAAGUAGGGAUUUCUCGAUCUAGCAUAAUGCCAGCAGCUGGAACAAUGUACUUGACCACUUCAACUGGAUAUCCUUAUACUUAUCACAAUGGAGUAGCUUAUUUUCAUACUCCUGAAGUUGCAUCUGUUCCACAGCCAUGGCCUUCACGGUCCAUUUCCAGUUCCCCUGUAAUGGUAGCUCAACCUGUUUAUCAUCAACCUACAUAUCCUUACCAGGCACCUGCACAGUGUCUUUCAGGUCAGUGGCAAUGGAGUGUUCCACAGUCUCCUGCCUCUUCAACCUCAUUCUUUUAUCUUCACCCUUCUGAAGUUAUUUAUCAGCCACUAGAAAUUGCACAGGACAGUGGAUGUGUACCUCCUCCUUUCUCUCUAAUGGAAGCUGCAGUUCCAGAGCCAUAUUCUGAUCAUGGAGUUCAAGCAGCAUAUCACCAAGUUUAUGCCCAGAGUGCCAUAGCUAUGCAAACACCUGUGAUGCAGCCUGAGCCAGUUAAAACCUUGUGGAGCAUUCAUUAUUAAGCCAUUUGGGCAGCUCUAGUCCAGAUGUACUGAUUUUCUUGUCCAGUCCUCCCCACAUGGCCAAGAUCCAUCUUCAGUGAACCAACUAGCGGCUGCCCAUUGUGAAACUUAGGGAACCAAGGUUACAUUCUGUGAGAAGAAAUUUUUCACAUCCUUCAUCUGUGAGUUUGAAACCUCGAUAUACACGAAGCCCUCACUUUCAUCCUAGAA